CAGCUAGUUGGUGGGGUAACGGCCUACCAAGGCGACGAUCAGUAGCUGGUCUGAGAGGAUGAUCAGCCACACUGGGACUGAGACACGGCCCAGACUCCUACGGGAGGCAGCAGUGGGGAAUAUUGGACAAUGGGCGCAAGCCUGAUCCAGCCAUGCCGCGUGAGUGAUGAAGGCCUUAGGGUUGUAAAGCUCUUUUGUCCGGGACGAUAAUGACGGUACCGGAAGAAUAAGCCCCGGCUAACUUCGUGCCAGCAGCCGCGGUAAUACGAAGGGGGCUAGCGUUGCUCGGAAUCACUGGGCGUAAAGGGCGCGUAGGCGGCCAUUCAAGUCGGGGGUGAAAGCCCGGAGCUCAACUCCGGAAUUGCCUUUGAAACUGUCAGGCUCGAGUACGGGAGAGGUGAGUGGAAUUCCCAGUGUAGAGGUGAAAUUCGUAGAUAUUGGGAAGAACACCGGUGGCGAAGGCGGCUCACUGGCCCGUUUCUGACGCUCAGGCGCGACAGCGUGGGGAUCAAACAGGAUUAGAUACCCUGGUAGUCCACGCCGUAAACUAUGGACGCUAGCCGUUGGCAGGCUUGCCUGUCAGUGGCGCAGCUAACACAUUAAGCGUCCCGCCUGGGGAGUACGGCCCGCAAGG
rnacentral:rRNA from 1 species